CUCCGUAGCAAAGAGGUGUUUCAGCGCGAUGCGAGUUUUGGUUCUUAGGCUCGCUUUGAGAAUUUGAUUAAUAUUGUGGGGUUUUUUUACUCAGAAAAUGCGUAUGCCGGUUCACAAGGAAACUUUGUCAAAAUAUUCGGGUAGAUUACGACUUGUGGUACAACUUGAAAUGUCUUGAGACAGUUGUGCUUUUCAUGAUGAGUCUCGUGAUUUCUUCAGCCACUCAUUUUCUGAUUAAUUCUUACAAGUGGGUCAUUUCUGCGAACAGCUGAUCUCAUUUUGAUUCCAGUCCUAUUCUUAGAAGGACUUCCCUGGUGGCGCAGCGGUUAAGAAUCCCCCUGCCA